rnacentral:rRNA from 1 species
CCCCUAAACUGGGAUUAGAUACCCCACUAUGCCUAGCCCUAAACAUUGGUAUAACUCUACACAUUUUACCCGCCCGGGUACUACGAGCACCAGCUUAAAACCCAAAGGACUUGGCGGUGCUUUAGACCCCCCUAGAGGAGCCUGUUCUAGAACCGAUAACCCCCGUUCAACCUCACCCUUUCUUGUUUAUUCCGCCUAUAUACCGCCGUCGUCAGCUUACCCUGUGAAGGUUUAAUAGUAAGCACAACUGGUUUAACCCAAAACGUCAGGUCGAGGUGUAGCGAAUGAAAGGGGAAGAAAUGGGCUACAUUCCCUAAAGAUAGGGAAAACGAAUGACAUACUGAAAUGCAUGUCUGAAGGAGGAUUUAGUAGUAAGUGGAAAAUAGAGCGUCUCACUGAAACGGCCCUGAAGCGG